rnacentral:rRNA from 1 species
AUUGAACGCUGGCGGCAUGCUUUACACAUGCAAGUCGAACGGUAACAGCACUUCGGUGGCUGACGAGUGGCGAACGGGUGAGUAAUACAUCGGAACGUGCCUAGUAGUGGGGGAUAACUACUCGAAAGAGUAGCUAAUACCGCAUGAGAUCUAAGGAUGAAAGCAGGGACCUUCGGGCCUUGCGCUACUAGAGCGGCUGAUGGCAGAUUAGGUAGUUGGUGGGAUAAAAGCUUACCAAGCCGACGAUCUGUAGCUGGUCUGAGAGGACGACCAGCCACACUGGGACUGAGACACGGCCCAGACUCCUACGGGAGGCAGCAGUGGGGAAUUUUGGACAAUGGGCGCAAGCCUGAUCCAGCAAUGCCGCGUGCAGGAUGAAGGCCUUCGGGUUGUAAACUGCUUUUGUACGGAACGAAAAGCCCUCUUCUAAUACAGGAGGGUCAUGACGGUACCGUAAGAAUAAGCACCGGCUAACUACGUG